GAAUUGGUGGUUCAGUGGUAGAAUUUUAUGUUGCGGUGUUGGAGGCCUGGGUUCGAUUCCCAGCCAAUGCA
rnacentral:tRNA from 1 species